rnacentral:miRNA from 1 species
GAAUUCCUCUGUGUAGCCCUGGCUGUCCUGGAACUCACUCUGUAGACCAGGCUGGCCUCAAACUCACAAAGAUGCAGCUGCCUCUGCCUCCUGAGUGCUGGAAUUAAAGGCAUGCGCCACCACUGCCC